ACAGGUUGACAACCCUAAAAGGCCUCUCUCUCUCUCUCUCUCUCUCUCUCCCCCCCCCCCCCUUCUGUCCAUCUCUCUUCCUCUCGAUCGGACUGGUAGCUACGCUCAACUGCAACAGCCCGGCCACAAUAUGGAUUGGGAAUGAACUGAAGGGCUCCUCCAUUGAACAAUCCCAACCAUCUAAUCAGUAUACUUGCCUCCUAUCGCAUAUUAUGUGUUGAGCCUAUUGGUCAUAUUUCCAUUUUAAUUGUACAUUUAUAGGAAAGUCAUUGACUGG